rnacentral:tRNA from 1 species
GCCGCCUUGGUCCAGAGGCAGGACGCUCCGCUUGUAACGGAGAGGCGACGGUUCGAUUCCGUCAGGCGGCUCCA